UGGGGAAUAUUGGACAAUGGGCGAAAGCCUGAUCCAGCCAUGCCGCGUGUGUGAAGAAGGUCUUCGGAUUGUAUAGCACUUUAAGUUGGGAGGAAGGGCAGUAAGCGAAUACCUUGCUGUUUUGACGUUACCGACAGAAUAAGCACCGGCUAACUCUGUGCCAGCAGCAGCGGUAAUACAGAGGGUGCAAGCGUUAAUCGUAAUUACUGGGCGUAAAGCGAGCGUAGGUGGUUCGUUAAGUUGAAUGUGAAAGCCCCGGGCUCAACCUGGGAACUGCAUCGAAAACUGGCGAGCUAGAGUAGGGAAGAGGGGGGUAGAAUUUCCAGUGUAGCGGUGAAAUGCGUAGAUAUAGGAAGGAACACCAGUGGCGAAGGCGACCACCUGGGCUCAUACUGACACUGAGGUGCGAAUGCGUAGGGAGCAAACAGG
rnacentral:rRNA from 1 species